UAGUUUGAGAGUCGCACGGCAGUUKGAGACUUCGGUCCGCCGGCGAGUGGCGAACGGGUGAGUAAAGUAUCGGAACAUACCUUUCAGUGGGGGAUAACGUAGCGAAAGUUACGCUAAUACCGCAUAUUCUGUGAGCAGGAAAGCAGGGGAUCGCAAGACCUUGCGCUGAUUGAGCGGCCGAUAUCAGAUUAGCUAGUUGGUGAGGUAAAGGCUCACCAAGGCGACGAUCUGUAGCGGGUCUGAGAGGAUGAUCCGCCACACUGGAACUGAGACACGGUCCAGACUCCUACGGGAGGCAGCAGUGGGGAAUUUUGGGCAAUGGGGGCAACCCUGAUCCAGCCAUGCCGCGUGAGUGAAGAAGGCCUUCGGGUUGUAAAGCUCUUUCGGCCGGGAAGAAAUCGUAUGGGUUAAUACCCUGUGCGGAUGACGGUACCGGCAUAAGAAGCACCGGCUAACUACGUGCCAGCAGCCGCGGUAAUACGUAGGGUGCGAGCGUUAAUCGGAAUUACUGGGCGUAAAGCGUGCGCAGGCGGUUUUGUAAGACAGGCGUGAAAUCCCCGGGCUCAACCUGGGAACUGCGCUUGUGACUGCAAGGCUAGAGUAUGGCAGAGGGGGGUGGAAUUCCACGUGUAGCAGUGAAAUGCGUAGAGAUGUGGAGGAACACCAAUGGCGAAGGCAGCCCCCUGGGCCAAUACUGACGCUCAUGCACGAAAGCGUGGGUAGCAAACAGGAUUAGAUACCCUGCUAGUCCACGCCCCUAAACGAUGUCAACUAGGUGUUGGGGUGGGUAAAACCAUUUAGUACCGUAGCUAACGCGUGAAGUUGACCGCCUGAGGAGUACGGCCGCAAGGGUUAAAAACUCAAAGGCAAUUGACGGGGGACCCCGACACCAAG
rnacentral:rRNA from 1 species